GAUGAAGAACGUAGUGAAACGCGAUAGUUAAUGUGAAUUGCAGAAUUCAGUGAAUCAUCGAGUCUUUGAACGCACAUUGCGCCCCCUGGUAUUCCGGGGGGCAUGCCUGUCCGAGCGUCAUUGCUGCCCAUCAAGCGCGGCUUGUGUGUUGGGCCGCCGUCCGCCUUCCCCCCCGGGGGGAGGGGGACGGGCCCGAAAGGCAGCGGCGGCACCGCGUCCGGUCCUCGAGCGUAUGGGGCUCUGUCACCCGCUCUGGAGGCCCGGCCGGCGCCCGCCGACCCCCAACCUUCUUCUAACCAGGUUGACCUCGGAUCAGGUAGGGCUACCCGCUGAACUUAAGCAUAUCAAUAAGCGGAGGA
rnacentral:misc_RNA from 1 species